CUGCCCCCCAGCUUUCUCCAGCCUUUUCCUGUUCAGGGCCCUGACCAACUAACCAGGCCAUUCACAAUUGCCCAUGAGUUUAUUCAUCACUGGCUCUUCU